UUUCUGAAAAGCCUCUCGAUCCUCCUGCUCUGGAGUCUCCAGCACACCUAGGACAGGAAUCACUGCAGUAAGACCUUGUCCUGAGAUCAGUGCAAAGAUGUCCUUGGGACUGUAACCUGUACAAUCCAGCGUUGGAAUUGGCUGCAACAGCUUCCAAAGCUGAGGGAUGCAUGAUGGAUUUAGAGGAGGAAUCAGAGAAAGUUAUACCUGAG